AUCAUUUCUGAAGGCUUUUUGCCAAACCACUGUGAACUGUCAGCUCCGGCUGACAACUGCUUGGGUGACUGCUUCGGCGGCGCCCAACAUUUAAAACUUCUACUUUUAAUUCUGAAACCAAGAAAUUUAAAAACUUUCAACAACGGAUCUCUUGGUUCUCGCAUCGAUGAAGAACGCAGCAAAGCGCGAUAGGUAAUGCGAAUUGCAGACGUGAGUCAUUGAAUCUUUGAACGCACAUUGCGCUACUAGGUUCUCCUAGUAGCAUGCUUGUUGGAGCGCCGAUCUUCCUCCCAACCUAUCUAGGUAUGGGGUACUGCUCCUUGUAGGAGUGAAAAACAUGGAAGUGCACACGUUAGUUAACUCUGUGCAGUUAAUCAAACUUUUGGCCCCCAAUCAAGCAAGGUUACCCGCUGAACUUAAGCAUAUCAAUAAGCGGAGGAAAAGAAACCAACAGGGAUUGCUCUAGUAACGGCGAGUGAACAAGCAAAAGCUCAGUUUUGAAAGCCUCUUCGGAGGCAUUGUAUUCUGAAGCCUAGAUUCUGGGAAACGGUACUUAAGUCUUCUGGAAAGGAGCGCCACGGAGGGUGAUAGCCCCGUACGGUACUGACCCCAUUGUAGUUUCUAGGCGUGGAGUCGAGUUGUUUGGGAAUGCAGCUCAAAUGGGAGGUAUGCUCCUUCUAAAGCUAAAUAUUUGCGAGAGACCGAUAGCGAACAAGUACUGUGAAGGAAAGAUGAAAAGAACUUUGAAAAGAGAGUGAAAUAGGACGUGAAAUUGUUGAAAUGGAAGGGUAGGCCGCUAACCAUGUAGGACCGUGUUUGAGGGGAAGAUAAAAGCUUCGGAAUGUGGCUCCUCGGAGUGUUAUAGCCGAAGUCAAUGUUCCCACUCGAGCGCGAGGAUCUCAGGUUCUACUAAAUGGUGGUCUACCA
rnacentral:rRNA from 1 species